GCAAGUCGAGGGGUAACAUUGGUGCUUGCACCAGAUGACGACCGGCGCACGGGUGCGUAACGCGUAUAGAAUCUGCCUUGUACAGGAGGAUAGCCUUUAGAAAUGAAGAUUAAUACUCCAUAAUGUAGAGUUGUGGCAUCACAAUUUUAUUAAAGAUUUAUCGGUACAAGAUGACUAUGCAUCCUAUUAGCUAGAUGGUAAGGUAACGGCUUACCAUGGCAACGAUAGGUAGGGGUCCUGAGAGGGAGAUC
rnacentral:rRNA from 1 species